GACACGGAGUCUCUCUCCAAUAGAGAAUUCCUCACUAGCUAGAAACUGAAAAUCAAUAUAUCUACCUGUGGUUACUGUGCGAUUCGCACAGGAGAGGGUCAUGGUUGGCGGAGCAACCGGAGGAGACGGCGUUGAUCGGUUAUUUCAAUUUCAAAAAUAAACCACGCAAUAGCACGUAUCCUGUAGGAUAGUGAUUACGGGUGUCGGUCCACAGGGAUUGGAGACAAGUUAUUUUUCCUAAUUAAAUAAUUACUUCAAAGGGGAUAAGCUAGAGUAAAUGAUAAAAACUAAGAAUCAAUAUGGAUGUAAUAGUAUGAAUUAUCUAUGGAGAGAGAUGUUUAGGGCUAGAAUCCACCGAUAGAUUUAUAUCCGUGACGCUUUCAAUAAUUGAGUUGUAUGUAAGACUUGAUUGCUUCCGACUAUAAGCCAAAGCAAUCAUUAAAAAUUAUGAUUAAUUCGCAGCAUGAAUCAUCUAAGUCUAGCACAAACCAUCUACUCUAACGAUAAGCAUGAUCUGUCUAACCUAGCAUGAUGCAUCUGAUCAUUAAAUCAUUAAACAUGAAAUCGACGUCACAUAAAUAUCUCCUCCAAACCACAGGUGUUGGAUUCGAUGAAAUAGAUCAAUCUAUGUAAAAUGUUUUAUGCAAGAUAAAUGAUUCACAUAAAUUGGAUAAAUCAUAAGAUCAAUUGAUAAAUUCUUCAUCAUGCAACCUAUCUUACAAUACAAACUCAAAUCAACAAAAAUAAAACGAAUACUCCUCUAUGGCUUCAUCAAACCCCUAAACCGAGGUUUAGCUGCUCAUGAUGCUUGGCGACUUUGAUCGGCUUGCUAAG
rnacentral:lncRNA from 1 species